GACGAACGCUGGCGGCGUGCUUAACACAUGCAAGUCGAGCGGUAAGGCCCUUUCGGGGGUACACGAGCGGCGAACGGGUGAGUAACACGUGGGUGACCUGCCCUCAGCUCUGGGAUAAGCCUGGGAAACUGGGUCUAAUACUGGAUAUGACUCCACGGUGCAUGUCGUGGGGUGGAAAGCCUUGUGCGGCUGAGGAUGGGCCCGCGGCCUAUCAGCUUGUUGGUGGGGUGANGGCCUACCAAGGCGACGACGGGUAGCUGGCCUGAGAGGGCGACCGGCCACACUGGGACUGAGACACGGCCCAGACUCCUACGGGAGGCAGCAGUGGGGAAUCUUGCGCAAUGGGCGAAAGCCUGACGCAGCGACGCCGCGUGAGGGAUGACGGCCU
rnacentral:rRNA from 1 species